rnacentral:rRNA from 1 species
GGGCGAAAGCNUGAUCCAGCAAUGCCGCGUGUGGGAAGAAGGCCUUCGGGUUGUAAACCACUUUUGUACGGAACGAAACGGUCUGCCCUAAUACGGUGGGCUAAUGACGGUACCGUAAGAAUAAGCACCGGCUAACUACGUGCCAGCAGCCGCGGUAAUACGUAGGGUGCGAGCGUUAAUCGGAAUUACUGGGCGUAAAGCGUGCGCAGGCGGUUAUAUAAGACAGUUGUGAAAUCCCCGGGCUCAACCUGGGAAUUGCAUCUGUGACUGUAUAGCUAGAGUACGGUAGAGGGGGAUGGAAUUCCGCGUGUAGCAGUGAAAUGCGUAGAUAUGCGGAGGAACACCGAUGGCGAAGGCAAUCCCCUGGACCUGUACUGACGCUCAUGCACGAAAGCGUGGGGAGCAAACAGGAUUAGAUACCCUGGUAGUCCACGCCCUAAACGAUGUCAACUGGUUGUUGGGUGCAUUAGUACUCAGUAACG